GAGGGCAUAGCUCAGUGGUAGAGAGCUUGCCUAGCAUGCAUGAGACCCUAGGUUCAACCCCCAGUACCACUU
rnacentral:tRNA from 1 species